AUUUUGGGAUGGACUGAUGGAUGUGGUGUCCUGGACAAAAUCCAAGCUCACCUGGAGAGUUUUCACUUCCCUCAAUGCUGGUCUCUUACAACCCUGACCGCUGACCUGGCUGACAGCCUCUUCACCAUCUGGUAGCAAUAGAAGGUGUGCUGAGGAAGUUAUUGUUCCUUUGUGGAGAGACUACUUAACAGAUGCAGAAGGUCAAGAGGAAAUACAGAAGCUGUGGCCAAUUUUUGCCACUGGAGCCAAUACUGUUCCACCAAUGGGUUUCUCUCAACUCUUUAAUUGAAUUCCUCACCAAGAGCAUGACACGGGAACCCCUUCAAACUACCCAUUGCAAACACCUGCAUCAGUUAUUUGAAGUUACCACUGCACACCUCUCACAGACUUGUAGGAAAACCUGGACUUAACAUUGGGCAAUACCCAUGGUUUUGGCAUAGCUUACUUUGUGGGCAUUCUUCCUUCUCAGCAUUCAAUAUUUGUGUACAACUGUGUAUUACUACUUGUGUUUUCAAUUUAACUGUAUUUGAGGGGUAGUUAAAAUUGAUAUGUUAAGUCCUCUCCUUUAAAGCAUGAAACGUCGCCAUGUGCUUGCUCAUGGUGGUACUGUUGGGUCUCUGUAAAUAAUGUUAUAAGGAGUUCGGUCUAGACCUGCUCUAUUUGAAAAGUGUCCUGAGAUAACUUCUGUUAUGAAUUGGCGCUAUACAAAUAAAAUUGAAUUGCAUUGAAUUGAAACGGGCAAAACCAGUGUUUUCCAGUCAAUGAUCAUCUUCACCCUGGACGGUAUUCCAAGGUUAUGGACGCAAUGAAAAGUAACAAAACACUAGGAGGCUCUGUUGUGCCUAAAGAAAAUGAAAUCAGAGUAAAUCAUGUGUGGGAAAAAUGUAUCUAGUUUAGGGUUGUGCAUCAAUAAUUUAACACUAAAAUAAACAAUUAUCAGUAAUGAGCUCUUUUGUUUUUGAUGCUCAGUCCAUUUUGCUCUAGUCUUAAAAAAUUGUGAACGCAGGAAAUAAUCCAGUGUUUUUGCAUUUACUUUCAUUCAAAGAGAGUCUUCAAGUACUUCUUCCACCACAUCAAGUACCUUUUAGGAAACUGACUACCAGUGGCGGAAGAAGGAUUCAGAUCCUUUUAAAGGUAAAAGUACGCUCCCAAUACCACACUGCAAAAAUAAUCUGUAACACUUUAUCAUAAGGGUACAAAUCAUAUACAUAAAUAAUGCUUAACUAAUGCAUGACUCAUGAGGAUUUAUUGCAUGAAUUAAUAUAGGAUGUAGCAUGAUUUCCUGUCCCUCACCAUUAGAACAAUGUUACUAUGACUUUUUGUGAUUAGUUCACACUGAAUAGAUCAUCAGAUAAGGUAUGUUGAUGAA
rnacentral:lncRNA from 15 species